UCACUUCAGCAGCACAUAUACUAAAAUUGAAACAAUACAAAGAAGUUAGGAUAGCCCCUGCACAAGGAUGACAUGCAAAUUCGUGAAGCGUUCCAUAUUUUA